UACGUAGGGUGCAAGCGUUGUCCGGAAUUAUUGGGCGUAAAGAGCUCGUAGGCGGUCUGUCGCGUCUGCUGUGAAAACUCGGGGCUUAACCCCGGGCCUGCAGUGGGUACGGGCAGACUAGAGUGCGGUAGGGGAGACUGGAAUUCCUGGUGUAGCGGUGGAAUGCGCAGAUAUCAGGAGGAACACCGAUGGCGAAGGCAGAUCUCUGGGCCGUAACUGACGCUGAGGAGCGAAAGCAUGGGGAGCGAACAGG
rnacentral:rRNA from 1 species